rnacentral:lncRNA from 1 species
GGUUAAUCAUGUGUCUUUUUAAGCCUGGUUCACACCUAGGUUAUAGAAAAUUUAAGAUCAUAAGAACUAGAUUGUUUUCAACGUUUAUUCUGAAUCAAGUAAAUAAGGAUACUAUACAGUUAGCUGUGUACAUUGUGUUUUACAGAGAACUCAAAGUAAAGGCUCAGAACAGCAGAUGGAUAUUGUGGGGACCGAACGCAGUGAUCGUACACCGUUGGAAUUCGAGGAAUGGCUAUCGUGACAGAUGGGGACAUUGACAGGGACAUUCCAACCAAAAAGUCAGGGAACAGUGCUCGGGAAGAACUGCACGUAGACGUUCAUAUCAGAUGUACUUUUUAUCUUGUCUGUUCAAUGUAUAAAUCCCAGUGUAAUUUAGUUAUUGAUAUAUAAUAAACCUUCUGAUGCUAAUUGGGGUUAUAUAGUUUUUG